rnacentral:pre_miRNA from 1 species
CCUCUGCUUUAACCUGGGGGCACCUGCUGUGUAAAGCAAAAGUAAGUGCUUCCAUGUUUCAGUGGCGG